rnacentral:tRNA from 1 species
CGUAGCUCAGCUGGAUAGAGCGUUGCCCUCCGAAGGCAAAGGUCACACGUUCGAAUCGUGUCGGGUGCGCCA